UGUUGACCUCGGAUCAGGUAGGAAUACCCGCUGAACUUAAGCAUAUCAAUAAGCGGAGGAAAAGAAACCAACCA
rnacentral:rRNA from 1 species